AUUGAACGCUGGCGGCAGGCCUAACACAUGCAAGUCGAACGGCAGCACAGAAGAGCUUGCUCUUUGGGUGGCGAGUGGCGGACGGGUGAGUAACACGUAGGAAUCUACCCCAGUAGUGGGGGAUAACCUGGGGAAACCCAGGCUAAUACCGCAUACGCCCUGAGGGGGAAAGCGGGGGAUCUUCGGACCCCGCGCUAUUGGAUGAGCCUGCGUCGGAUUAGCUAGUUGGUGGGGUAAGGGCCCACCAAGGCGACGAUCCGUAGCUGGUCUGAGAGGAUGACCAGUCACACCGGAACUGAGACACGGUCCGGACUCCUACGGGAGGCAGCAGUGGGGAAUCUUAGACAAUGGGCGCAAGCCUGAUCUAGCCAUGCCGCGUGAUCGAUGAAGGCCUUAGGGUUGUAAAGAUACUUUCAGAUGGGAAGAUAAUGACGGUACCAUCAGAAGAAGCCCCGGCUAACUCCGUG
rnacentral:rRNA from 1 species